GCCUGGGGGACAGAGCAAGACUCUGUCUCAAAAGAAAAAAAAAUGAAAUAAAUAAUAUUAGAAAAGCUCUUAGCCCAGAACCCUCAGUGCCCAGUAGAUGAUCAGCUUUUUCUGCAUCUUCAGCUAACGGUGGCAGAUGGCAACCCAGCUCCCAGUUACAUAUCUUCAAUUCUGGGGCCAACUGAGCUCUCACCAAAUUCCAGUUCCAAAUCCCCAGGGAAAGGAAUCCAACUGGCCCCUGCCAAGUGCAGGGUUCUGACCACCAUGCUGAGGAUGAAGAUGAAGACAGCAUAAGCUCUGCCUCUAGAAACUGACAAUCUGCAUGGAGAGGAAAGACAUAUGCAGCUCUUCGGAAAAGGCCCUAAGAAGCCAUCAAAGAUAUGUCAUGGAGGAAGCCAUCGAAGAGGAAAGAGGAAGCUUUGUAACAGUUUACCUGGGAGGAAUAACAAGCUGCCAUAUGAAUACUGAUGAGAAAGGAGGUGGGAGAGACAUUUGAUCAUCAAUCAAGUUAUGAUUAUGAACACUCAGUUAAGAAAGAAAUGUGAAGUCAGUGUUCCUGAACAUGAAGAACAAGACCAGGGGUUGGGUUUUGGAGUCACACGGACUUUUUUUGUUCCAGCUCAUUUGUCUUUUUACC
rnacentral:lncRNA from 1 species